CCAAAAAUUAACCCCCCCCCCUCCGCCUCUUCCAAUCAGCAAGAAAAAGCCCUAGCCCUUCGUCUUCAUAGCAGCAUCGCACCACCACCCAACCUACGAUCUCGCACUGCCAAGUGUCACCGACCAUCUUCUCCAACCAUUCUUUCCUGUCGCACUACACCGAUAACAAAACCCCCAUCACUAUUUUAAACCACCCAUGAUACACAUCCUCACCCUCUCCUCUUGAUCCUCAUUCUCUGUAAAAACCCUUCUACCAUUGAUGAUCAAAUUGAACUCCCAAAAAUUACGGAAUGAAAUCCUAAAAGAAUUAUAAAAAAUCCCGCUACUAAGAAGAACCCCAAACAACCGGUAGUAUUUUCCCUAAAAUUCAUGGACUCUCUCAAGCGAUUUUAGCGAUUUUAUUUCCCCCCUAUUUUUUUGGGCAUCGAUCACUUCUUAGGCGGUCUUUAUAUAAAGAAUCCGAAAACAUAAAAUAGAGGCAAGGGAAAAAACGAGAUGGGGUAUUCAUGAGGGGCAAUCUCGUUUUCUUUGAAUAUGUUAUUGCAUGCGGUGGAUGUUAUGAUGAUGAAACUCCUGUGGGUUAGAUCGACAUCCUUGAUUUGUCCGGUUGUACCGGAUGAGUAAAGUAUCCCCUCCGUAUCGGCCUGUUGUACAUCUCCGCUUGAAGAUAUCCCAUCUCUUCUACAAGAUACAAACAUUGACAUAAGUUCAUUGGAAAUCAAGUCGCUGGUGAUGGUCUAUCGGUGAAUAUUGCCAGAAUGUCAAAGAAUCAACUCUAUGAUAUCAUGUCCCAGAUGAAGGUAAAAACACAAACCCCUAUUAUUCUGUCUUUUUCUUUCUUUUCAAAUUGAUGUUUCCUCUGUUUUUCCCAAAAAUUUACAACAAGUUCGAUGUAUGUCGUUGCUGGUGUUAAAUGAAUGCGAGGAGUUUAGACUAAAUCGGAUUCGUAUUUGAACAGAACCAGGAUCAAGCGAGACAAAUCUUGAUUCAAAAUCCUUUACUCACUAAAGCUCUCUUUCAGGUCUUGUUCUUAUCUAAUAUCUAGGGUUUACUUUUACUUAUAAUUUUUGUGUUUUUUUUCUUAUGAUUCAGACCUAUUCCUGGUUUCUAAUUCUCCUUCAACAAAUCAACGUUUAGGGUUCCAUGUAAUUCCUGAUGUUUGUCUCUCUUCUUUCUUUAUACCUUCAAACACAAAUAAUGCUAGGAAUCAAGUAAAAUAUCAUAACUAAUUCUUGUUUCAUUCUGCAUAAUCUGUUGCUGAUGUGGAAUCAAGUAAAAUAUCAUCUCCUACCACACAGGAAGCUGAUAUAGUUGUUGAAGACCAGCCAAGAUCACCUAUACUAGGGGUGAGUUUAAGGCAUACUGAUAAUAAAGAAAAAGUGGAAGUAGGAGGAAUUGGCGAGAAAGGGACCCCACAAGUUGAUAGUAGUCCAUUACCAUUGGUUAAAAAAUGUCUUUUUUCGCUGAGUCCUGUCAAUUGUGAUCUUUGUACUUGCGACAUUGGAGUUUGAUCUCUCUUGGGAACUUGCUAGGUUCUCUACUUAUUCUAUUCGUUCAUCUGGAAAGAGGUAUUACUCUAUAUUCAUUCAUCAGAUAUAGUAGGACUACUUAAAGGAAGAAAAUAUUAAUCGCAAGGAAGAACAUAUUUAUCGCAAGGGUAUUCUUGUCAUUUGUUCUUUGUCUUUUUUAGGGAGGAACCCUAAAACUGAUAAGGAAGAAAAUAUUUAUCCGAGGGUAUUCUUGUCAUUUGUGCUUAACAUACCAAAUCCACAGGUCAUUGUGUCUUGGAACGGACUUGUAGUUUCAUCAUUUGCUAGAGCAUCCAAGAUCCUCAACAACGAACCUGAUAUAACAAGAUUCAAUUUUCCUGUUGCUGGAACUGAUCCACAGGAGUACAUGGAGGUUGCAUAGAGAUCUUUGGUGUUCAUAAAGGAAAAUCUUUACGACUCCCAAUCUAGAAGGCUGCAACAGAGUUUCAGGAAAAGACCUUCAAAAGCUCCAGAAAUCUUGGAUGAUUAUGCAUCUUGAUUUCAGGGUUGUUAGAUGUGUAUAAGUAUGGUCGUUAGAUUUCAUGGUUAUCUUGGGCAAUUGAACUUCAAGAAACACAAGAUGAGGUGUUCCCUGACAAAACUGGAGGUGGUUAUUUUAACACCACAAGAGAAGAUGAGAAUGAUACUCUGCUGCUCAACUCAACCUAUCUGUCAACUUGUGCAAUAUAGUUGGGUAAUAGGAGUGUUCAUAGUCCGAUUUUUUCGGUUUUUAUAUCAAACCAAAGCCAAACCGUUAGUAACGGUUUUUGUAAAUCAAAAACCAAAGCCAAACCGUUAAAAAGUAAAAACUAAAUCAAACCGGACCCUUACUAACGGUUUGGCUUCGGUUUGGUUUCAUGGUUUGUCCAGCCCACUUUACGGAAAAAAUUGUCUCAAUGGAGCCUGCUAGCCCAAGGCACAGUUGUCUUGUUUUUCUAACCUGAUAAAUGCUAGCUCCUUUUUAUAGACUUUGCAUUCCUUUUGUUAUUUCUCUACCGGCGAUGUGGGAGGUGAGAUUUUUAAACUUUUAAUUAUUCUUUUCUUUUACACAACUCAGUAACAUGUUUUCUUCUUCUCUUCUUUUUUGUUCACUUAAGAGGUGCCUAAUGAUUUGAUAUGCAUAUGUUAUAAACACAAUAAUUUAAUAUGCAUGUAUAAAACAAACAACGGUACAUAUUUAUUUUUCAACCAAAAAUGUAUUCUAUAUAACUAUAUAUCACUUCUUAUAUAAGUGAAUAUGCAUAUAUAAAACGUACACAUAACAUAUUUGUUCUUUUACAUAUUAUCAUAUUACGUAACACAACACAUUUCAUAUAAAACAGAAUAUGCAUAUAUAAAACAUACACAUAACAUAUUUAUUCUUUUACAUAUUACCAUAUUACGUGAUACAACACGUUACAUAUUUAUUAUUUUACAUAUAGUAAACACACAUUUUUUUAUAUAUAAUUUGUUAAUUACAUAUAAAAAAGUUUAUAUAUAUAUAUAUAUAUAUAUAUAUAUAUAUAUAUCCUACGGUCCGGUCCGGUUUUAUACGGCUUGAAAAAUAAACCGUAAGCCAAACUAUUCAUUACGGUUUCGAGAAUUUGAAACCUCAAACCAAACCGUAAAGAAAAAUACAAACCAUGAUACCAAACCGAUGACCGGUUUGACCGGUUUCACGGUUUCAAACCAAACCAUGAAUACCCCUAUUGGGUAAUAUUAGAAGCCUUGAAAUGCAUGCUUAUGACUUAAUCUUACUUAGAGUUAGAGGGGUUGGUAUGAUUUCGUAGGAAGGCUCCACACAUGACAUGUUGCUUGAGGAGCUUAUAUAUGAUGUAUGAAACUACUAACCUACCCUUGCAGAAAGGUUAAAGGUAUUUCACUAGUAAUCCAAACUAGAGGGGUGCAUCAUGCAUGUGUAUUCCACCAUAUAUAGUGUGACUGCGAUAGUAUAUGAAUACAAGCUUAAUACAUAAAGAAAAGAAAUGUGUAGUGUAGUGUAAACCUACCAUUAUCUGAUCUAUUAAUUUAUUGUAGUAAUCUUUGGUUCUUUAACAUUCACACUGCUUCUUUUAUAUGAUGUGUUGUUCAUCAUUUCAAUGCAGGAUUUCGCAAGAUCUAAAAAGUGUUAUAUAGCCUUUUUCCUCUACUGUCUUGUUUGAAUGAAAGCAUGCUUAGGCUUUGGGUUCAGGGAGGAGGUUGUAUAUUUACAUUGCGAUGGCGAGGAUAACGAAGAUGAUGAAACCGGAUCCGACAGUGAAUUAAUCUCCGCUGAAAACAAUUCCGGCUUCAUCACCGCUUCUCAAUCUCAAAGUUGUUCCAUUGAUCCCUGGCCUCAAACUUACAGGUUCUCUUUAUUCAUUUCGAGCAUUGACCAUUGAUGUUUCAGACUAUAUCAAAUCUCUAUGCAACUGUGUUCAAUUUUGAGUGUAAAUUAUCAAAUCUAGAAGAAGAACACAUAAGGAUAUCGUGAUUUAUACGAAAAAUUCAUACUGUUUAUUUUUAAAUAUCCAUGAUUCUAUAAAAUUUUCACUUGAAGAGUAGAUAUCUCAGUCUUCUAUCAUGUAUGUCAUUCUUAGCAAAAAUCAAUAGAAAAAUAUGUGAGCAACAAAUCCAGACUAAAGGGGCAUUCAGACCAAGCCUAGGGAGAACAGGGUAGGGGUAGACCAAAUCUGUCAGUAGUAAUGAGAGUACCUUUGACUCCUUCCUCCCUCUUUUACUUUGUUUUCUUGUUUUAAAUGUGUAAACCAAAAUGUUUUAGAAAGAAAAAGAACACAUUUGCAUUUAAGUAGAGCACUUAAAGGUUUGAUUUAAACAAGUAAAAACAAAGGGUAAAUGCCACCCUUGGGUUCUCUGGUAUGAAUUCUGACCAAUUAUCACUAGAACAACAAGGUGGUGACUAUUAAUUUCAUAUGUGAAUAUUAAUUGUGAAUAUUAAUUUCAUAUUUCCAUUGCAUGAUUAUAUCUAAUUAAAAAUUUUAAUUGUAUGCUAAUUAGUACUACAGUCUUCUUGUGUGGAAUAUUUGAUAAUGAUGAAUGACAAUUUAUCAUCACUUUUCCCACUAGCUCAAUUGGAUAUUGGUGGUAUACAUCUUGAUUCUCAUUACUUAUGUGCCAUCAUAUCCACCCUUGUUAUCCUUCCAACAGUUUGGCUGAGAAACCUCAGUUAGUCUCCUAUAUUACAGGUUCUAAUUUCUAUAUCCUUCAGUAAUUUUCCUUUUUUUACCACUGACUGAGAUAAAGGGACUAAUUCCAAAGGUUUUUUUGAGCAGCUUUUGGAGUUGUAACAUUGGCAACUGUGAUUCUAUUUUGGUGUUCUUCACACUACUUGUAGCUUUAACAGUUCCAUAUUUUGGUAACAGACUGUUUUUAUUAAAACUAAAUUACAUUUUUCAUCCUUGAUUAAAGUUGUUUCUUUUUUAUGUAGUUUUGUGUCUUACUUGAGGUUUCUUGUAACAUUUUCGGUCCCUGUACCAAGUAAAUGACUACUUUUGGUCCCAAAAAUUUAGUCAUUUUAGUUGGAACAUAAACUAAAAACCUCAAAAUAAGGACCAAAACUACAAAAGAAAACAUGUUGGGACUAGAAUUGAAAAAAAAAAAUCAGUUAUACAUAAGAACCAAAAUGUAAUUUAUAUACUUCUUUUUAUACAAACAACACUUAAUAUUAAUUGUGAAUUGGUAAUCUUGAACUCAUUUACAGGAGUUGUAAUGGCCUUGACCGGAUUUGUACUCAUGAUGCUUGUAGUAAGUUUCACAUUUUUAUUCUUCAUUUUAUGAAUAGUUUCACAUUUACGAGCAGGAUCUUAUCAGAAGCCCUUGUUUCAUUACUCAAAGUUUGACAAUCUCUGUUAGUGCCAUUUAUUUUAUGAUUCUUGUUUCAACAGGUGUGUAAUGGCACAAACAAUCAAACUAAUUUGGUCAGUUUCAGAAGGUCACUAAUUAACAUGCAUGCAUCCAAUUUGUUUUGUUAGGACAAGUAAUAAAUAUAUUGUUCUUGCAGUGGGAAUACUAUUGUUGCUGAGCUACAUGGUGAAGUUCGGUGGCCAGGUAAGCACUAGAUGUUUUAUUCUAGAAAAAGAAAUGUUUAUGCAUAUAUACAUACAUACAUACAUACAUACAUAAAUACAUACAAUAAAAAUGUCAAAACAAAGCUAGAGGAUUAUUCUUUAAAUUUACAUAUGCAGAUAAAUCUGUUACUUGAUCAUCAAAGUUUUUUCAAACAUCAAAACCGUGUUGAUUCAAAACACUUUCCAAAUCCCACCUCUUUCGUUUGUAUAUUUGUUUUUUUGAAGCAUCUUCUACAUUUGGUGAACUAAAAUACACUCAAGGAGAAAACAUCUAGUGGUAUGCAGGGUGUAAACAACGAAUGGUGCACACUUCUUCACCUUCUUGGCUGUUGUCUUCUUUCACAAGCACAUCUUCAAUCAUCAUGGGGUUAUACUGAAAAGAAAGUUAAUGAAGCCAUUUCUUGCUUUUUUUUAGGUUAAUUCCUUCGGAAUCUAACACAGCUGGAAGAAGGUCGUGGAUACUUUCAUUUGGACUUGGUUAUACAAAUAGGUUAUAUAGUUAGGGAAAACCUCUUAAUAGCAAUGUACAAUUAGGUCCCCUUAAUACCAAUGUAAUAUAAUGUAUUGUUUUUUUGUAUGACAUUAACUUUUGUGCAAUGUAUUAUAUUUUUUGUAUAUGGUAUUUUAUUUUCUAU